CUAACGUAGGUGUUUAGCACGUUAAGCUUUCUACUUAAAAGAGGUUUUUUAAAGAUCACGUUAGA
rnacentral:tRNA from 1 species